GCAGUCGAACGGUAACAGGGAGCUUGCUCCGCUGACGAGUGGCGAACGGGCUGAGUAAUAUAUCGGAACGUACCCAGAAGUGGGGGAUAACGAAGCGAAAGUUACGCUAAUACCGCAUACGAUCUACGGAUGAAAGUAGGGGACCUUCGGGCCUUAUGCUUUUGGAGCGGCCGAUAUCUGAUUAGCUAGUUGGUGAGGUAAAGGCUCACCAAGGCGACGAUCAGUAGCUGGUCUGAGAGGACGACCAGCCACACUGGAACUGAGACACGGUCCAGACUCCUACGGGAGGCAGCAGUGGGGAAUUUUGGACAAUGGGCGCAAGCCUGAUCCAGCAAUGCCGCGUGAGUGAAGAAGGCCUUCGGGUUGUAAAGCUCUUUUGUCAGGGAAGAAACGGCUGUGGCUAAUAUCCACGGCUAAUGACGGUACCUGAAGAAUAAGCACCGGCUAACUACGUGCCAGCAGCCGCGGUAAUACGUAGGGUGCAAGCGUUAAUCGGAAUUACUGGGCGUAAAGCGUGCGCAGGCGGUUUUGUAAGUCUGACGUGAAAUCCCCGGGCUCAACCUGGGAAUUGCGUUGGAGACUGCAAGGCUAGAAUCUGGCAGAGGGGGGUAGAAUUCCACGUGUAGCAGUGAAAUGCGUAGAGAUGUGGAGGAACACCGAUGGCGAAGGCAGCCCCCUGGGUCAAGAUUGACGCUCAUGCACGAAAGCGUGGGGAGCAAACAGGAUUAGAUACCCUGGUAGUCCACGCCCUAAACGAUGUCUACUAGUUGUCGGGUUUUAAUUAACUUGGUAACGCAGCUAACGCGUGAAGUAGACCGCCUGGGGAGUACGGUCGCAGGAUUAAAACUC
rnacentral:rRNA from 1 species